rnacentral:lncRNA from 1 species
AUGUCAUAAAGUUGGACAGACCUGGGUGGGAUCUCUACUCGAAUAGAAGGCGCGAAUUCAUCGAUGCUAUGACAGCCCUUCCUUGCCUAACGGAAACUGUUUUCUCAGGUCGAGUUGAGGGCUUGAGCUUCUAUGAUUCCUGUAGGCUUCUCUUCUCGCUACUCCAGUCUAGUGGGGAAGGGUGUUGUUCCCUUUCCCGAAAUAAAGAGAAAGAUCCCGAGAAAAAAGAAGUAGGCUUCGGUUCAAUCUGGGAUCGAACUAUCCUCUUUUCUUUGGCUGUGUCAAGCCAGUUCUCUGAUCCGAGGGGGACUCUUGUGAAGUAA